rnacentral:sRNA from 1 species
CAAUGACCUCGUCUUCUUUGCUUGUAUCAGGUUGAUAGGUGUAAACAGAGCGGCUCAGCUUUAGUACUUUGCAGCUGCGUCUUACACUCAAACCGUGCUCUGAUAUCAAGUAGUCGACGGUUUCGCGCUUGUCUGCCGGCGUC